rnacentral:lncRNA from 1 species
GGAGGCGUCCCCACUUCCCUAAGAGAAAACACGGGCCACGAUGCCUUUAGCCUAGGGUAAUUAGACCUGGUUUUAAAUCUCUAUGGCAUCCCAUACAUAAGGUAGCCCGGGCCCUUCUGCUUCCCGGCCUCUUCUGUUAUUCAGCCAGAGCACACACUUUACAGACUUUUAACCGAACAUUUGCUAAUUACUAGCUAUCUCACUUUGGGCAAGUCCGUAAGUCUCUAAAAGGAAGAUAUUAUUAAAUACCCCUGCGGCGCUCUGAUCAAAAGGUCUCCCGAAGUUAAAGCACUUAACCUGCAAGUCUUACAGAGAGCAAGAGCGGGCGCUAUAAAGGGUGGUUAAUUUAUGAUUGUGUGUAAACGACUAUUUGAGGCUUUGCCUGGAUGGUAAAGUUUUGUCUGCGAGAUGAAGAGGAGGACCAGAGGGGGUCAGCGACCUCCAAAUGUCUAUGUGAACGUUUACACUAUGGGUCCUUGGUUUUCAUCAUGUUGUCAAAAGUAAUGAACACCUUCCUUGGACUUGAAAGAAGAGCCCAUUAUCACUGUCAUCUUUGUCAAGAAACUAGUUCUGAUCAUAGAUUGGAGGGAGGCAAUACCUCAGCUGUAGACCCAGAGCACCCUGGAUUUCGCUCCUGGCUUUCCUACUGAUCAGUGGUGUGACUCUGAGCAGGUGAAUCUAACUUGCUGACCUAUUAUUUCCUGUCUAUGGAAUGACAGUUGCCACCACGUGCCUGGCAAGACGUGGAGGAUGGCAUGAGAUAAAGUUGAUAAAGUGGUGUUAAUGGGCAUCUUAGCAAAUGCUUUCUUUCCAUGCUGACUUCAUGUCCUCUCUCCUCUCAGUGAGCUGUAUGUUCUAUAUGUCCUAUUAGUUGAGACGGUUAUCUCUUUAGGUGAGUACCCUUUCAAUAUAUUUUAAAAUA